AAAAAAAAAAAAAACUCUUUUCUUUCUAUCUCUCUCUCUCUCUCCCCAUCCCAUCACAAUCUCCAUCUCCAUCUCCAUCUUCAUCUCCAUCUCUGUCUCUUGUAUAAAGAUAAAUCCCACAAGUCUUAAAACUAUUCUCUUCUCUCUCUCUCUCUCUCUUCACCAUGACUGAUCCUUAUUCCAAUUUCUUCACAGACUGGUUCAAGUCCAAUCCUUUUCACCAUUACCCUAGUUCCUCCUCUAACCCUUCUCCUAGUAACCUUCCUCCUCCUUCUCUUCCCACUCCCUCUUCCUUCUUCUUCUUCCCUCAAUCCGGCGACCUCCGUCGUCCACCACCGCUACCAACCCCUCCUCCUUCUCCUCCUCUCCGUGAAGCCCUCCCUCUCCUAAGUCUCAGCCCCGCCAACAAACAACAAGACCACCAUCACAGCCAUGACCAUCAAAAUCAAGAACCACCUUCCACCUCCAUGGAUGUCGACUACGACCAUCAAGAUGAUCAUAACCUCGAUGACGAUGACCAUGACGUCACCGUCGCUCUUCACAUAGGCCUUCCAAGCCCUAGUGCUCAAGAGAUGGCCUCUUUGCUCAUGAUGUCUUCCUCUUCGUCUUCCUCGAGGACCACCCUUCAUCAUGACGAUUUGAAUCACAAGAAAGAUCUCGACCAUGAUUACAGCCACGGCGCCGCCGAAGGAGGAGAAGAUGACGAUGAAGAUUUAGUCGGCGGAGACGGCGGCUGUAGAAUCAGCAGACUCAACAAGGGUCAAUAUUGGAUCCCUACACCUUCUCAGAUUCUCAUUGGUCCUACUCAGUUCUCAUGUCCUGUUUGCUUCAAAACCUUCAAUAGAUACAACAACAUGCAGGUUCUUUACUAAUCAUACUCUCCUUACUCUAAAUCUCUUACAUAUCUCUGUCUCUGUGCGCAUAACUUCUUUCAAGAAUUUCGUUUUCUUUUCCAUGAAAAUCGACUUUUAUUUUCUGAGUAAACCCAAAAGGUAAAAACCAAAGCAAAUAUGUUUGUUCACUGAAUUUCCUCGAAAAAUACAAAAAACGUUCUCACCUUUAAUCGGUAAAUAUAUAUAUAUAUAUAUAUAUAUAACAUACUGUUUUCAAAUCAAUCAAUGGACGUGUCUUUGCUCACUGAUGCAUGAAUAAAUCAUUGCAUUACAAAGAACCGAGAGACUUGAGACUGUGAAGACUGGGACUGAGAUUUAACAAGACAGUAAAUGUUCUUUAUGUCUUUAGUACUUUCAAGUCUCUGUGGUUUUGCUGCUUUUCUCUACAAUAUUGGCAAGUGUGUCAUCCUUCUUUUGUAUGAGGGUCUUUAAAUGCCUAACGUGUAAAAUAACAGUAGUCAUACAAUUUCUCAUACCUAUAUAUUCAAAAUUAAUAUACAUAGAUAUAUAUACAUGUAUGGCUUUUCAUAUAUAUAUAUAUACUCGGUAAAUGAGCUUCAUAAGAUUUUGUAUUGAACGUACUCAACAUCUUGUUUUCUAGUUUACUACUAGGCUUUGAUUAAUUUGUUUACCGUACCUACGCAUGCAUUGACAUAUCUUAUUAUUAUUUUAUUUUCUUUUUUUGUUCAAGAAUUUAGUUUCUAUGAUUUUAAUUACAUUUCAGCAUUUACUUAACAUCUUGUUGAAUGAAUAUUUGUUGUCUUUUUACAUAUGCUUCAAGGUUGAUAUAUAUGGGUAAUUAAUAUCAAUGGAGAUAAAUAUAUAAGCUAGUUAGAGUAAUCAUCAUAACAUUGAUCUUCUAGUUAAUAUAUGUUAAUUUGCUGGCUAAUUAUAUAAGGUAAUCAUUACAAAGUAUCGAAGACACAUGUAACUAAAAUGGCUAACAGACAUAUCCUAAGCUAAAGUUUCAAGACGCACACUUUAUGAAUUUUCGAAAAUAUACUACUAUAAGUUAUUAAAACCCUACUUGAGUACAUGAUCAUAUAUACUUGCAUGAUUUUGUUUACAGAUGCAUAUGUGGGGACACGGAUCACAAUACAGAAAGGGACCAGAAUCUCUAAGGGGAACUCAGCCAACAGGAAUGCUAAGGCUUCCAUGCUAUUGCUGUGCACCAGGCUGUCGCAACAAUAUUGACCAUCCAAGGGCAAAGCCUCUCAAAGACUUCAGAACACUUCAAACACAUUAUAAGAGGAAACAUGGGAUCAAACCUUUCAUGUGUAGGAAAUGCGGAAAAGCUUUUGCGGUCCGAGGGGACUGGAGAACACAUGAGAAGAAUUGUGGUAAGCUUUGGUAUUGCAUCUGCGGAUCAGAUUUCAAGCACAAGAGAUCUCUCAAAGAUCACAUCAAGGCUUUUGGUAAUGGCCAUGGAGCGUAUGGCAUUGAUGGGUUUGAUGAAGAAGAUGAGCCUGCCUCUGAGGUAGAACAGUUAGACAAUGAUCAUGAGUCAAUGCAGUCCAAAUAGCUUAUAUAAUUUAGUAUAAGUACUUAGUAAUUCGGUAUAUAUAUUAAUUAUAAGAAUCCUAAAUCUAUGGACCAAGUUUUGAUGGAGGUAGAGCUUUUCAAAGUAAAAGCUAUACCAUCUAAUUGAUCAUAGAAAAAAACGAAUCAAGAUCACUUGGAAAUUUUUAAAUUGUAUCUCUAGCUUUCUAGUCAAAUUUAUUACAAGGCAAUGUAGCAGUCUCUAACUUAUGAGGUUUCAACGGUUUCUAUUUGUAUAAUUUAUUUUUUUCAUUAAUUAGUUUUGCCUUUCGUUGUGAAAAAAAAAAAUUAUAAUAAACGUUUGAUUUAUACUUGUUAGGAUAUAUAGUAAAAGACUAGAAAAGUAGAUGCUACAUCCAUGCAUGCAUUAUGUUAAAAAAUUCUCUACAUAUGUACCAUAUUCUAGAUCGAAAUGAAUAUUUCUAAAUUUAAUUAAUUUGAGUAAUUAAUGAUAGAUUCUAGUUUUUUGAUUCCCAAAAGAUAUUAGUUUUCUGGUGGAGUUAUCUUUGAAUUUAUUGUAUAAGAAUACCUAUGAUACUUAAUUGUCUAGUGACAUCAUGGAGAAUAAUGAGAGAAUGGACACUAGAGAAUAUUACUACUCAAGUGCAGACCUUUAUUAAGAAGAUCAAAUACCAAUUUAUACAUUAUCUUUCUUUGAUAGUUGGUUGUUUUGAAAAUAAUGUGAUGAUGCUACUACGUACGUAUACCAUAUGUUUUGAGCAUAUAUAAUGCAUAAAGUUUAUACAUGUAUAUGUAAUUAACAGAGUACUUACAAGUAGCUACGUACCAUGAAAAAUAAAAUGUUUAAAAUAAAUGACUAAUUUUCCCCUAUGAAACUGCUAUUUUGUAUAAUAUUCUAAGCUAUUUUACAAAAAUACAUACUCAAGUUUGAAUACAUAAACGCAUAAAGAAACGUAAUAUAUAUAUAUAUGUAUAUAUAUACUUAAUUUGUUCAUUAAUUUUUGUUUGGAUUUUUCUCAAAAAAUUGCCUUAUAUUAUUCUUUCGAAUUAAUAAUCACCAAAGGAAUAUUGCAUUUGUUAUUAACGUGCAUGCAGCUUAUUAAUUAGCUAGCGGUUUCUUGAUCUUACUAUAUAUAAAAGUUAAUCGGACAACAAGUGAUUGUCUUAUAAUUCUAGUUACAGUUUUAGUUGUGUGUCAGUUUGUUGGUAAUGUAGAAUUCAAGAUCCAAUUCGGAUAUGAUUGUAUAACUAAGAUUACAGUUAAAGAGAGGCUUUUAUCUUCCUGCAAAGAGAUCUUUUCAAUAUGCUCCUUUUUUUUUUUCUUUUUUUCUCUUCUCCUUUUUGGGUUAGUGGACAGACAUAUUUGCUCGAUGAAGGAACAUUACACCUUUUUAUCUAUAUAUGAUUCACUUUUAAAAAUCCCAUCUUAAAAUUCGAAACCAAAUGAUGAUCAUCUCUCGACUCAGGCAUAUACACACACAGAGAUUGACCUAAUUUUCGUUUUAUGUAUAAAGGUAUGCAUAAACAGUGAAUAUUCCUUCAGGUCCUGUAAUUUCAUACGUAUGCAUGCAGUCAUGUACACGUGUAUGUAUGUGUACAUGAAUAUGAUGAUCAAUGGGUGAAGAAGGAGCACAAAGUAAUGUGAAGGAGAGUGAUAAAAAAACAAAAGAGAAGAGAGAGUGGAGCCCUAAGGGUGUGAUGGGUUGGGCAGAUUUGGGAGCAAAGAUUGAUGGUAUCAACAGUUCUCUUUUUUUAUUGCUCUCUCUCUCUCUCUCUCUCUCUCACUGUUAUUUGAUUUGACAUCUCAUUUUCUUUCCUUUUCCUUUGACCAUCUCUCUAUCGUUCUCUCUCUACACACACACUCUCACACAAAUGACCCAACUUUCAUCAUCUCCUCCAAUCAAAACCCACAUGCUUGCCCUCUUUUGUAUUCAUUUCAUUAUAUCCAAGGUUACACUUGCACAUAUUUUUUGGUGUAUAAUUGAUCACCCUAAUAUUUUACCUUAGUUUAAUUUGAUACAUAAACCAAGUAAGUUAUAUAACCUAUUUUCGUUCUAAUUUUUUUUUUUAAUUCUGGUUAUUUGUUAAGGAUAAAAUUUUUUGCAUCAAAUGCAUGAAAUGAAUAUGGUGAUGCACGAAGAAAAUUCAAGUUUAUGGAUUGUUUGUUUUUUUUUCUUUUCUUACAUUGGUCGUCACAAGCUGAAAUUAAAACAGUAGAAAAACUGGAAAAGCUAAGAACGAACAUCUUUAAAAAUUGAUGUAGGAUUCAGACAACAUUUAUUGCCAAUCAAUAUCCUACCCCUUUGUUGGGAGAAAUAGACCAUCCAUACCUCUCUUCCUUUGACCCCCUCUCCCUCUCAUCUUAUCUUCCCAACACUUCUCCAGAAAUUUCUACCGCUAUAUAGAUUUAUUUGUUGGUAUAUAAAUAAACAUUACUCCAGUACUUAUUAAGUGUGCAUGCAUGGUUCCUAGCUAUUGAAUGUUAGAUCAUCUUUUAUAUAUACGUACGCGGUAAAAAUGCAAGUGAUGCGUUGACGACAGAUGAUAACAUAUAUAUGUACGUAGCAAAAGUUUUCACUAUUCGUGUAAACUAACUCUUUUUAUUAUAUACGUACGAUAGAAAACUUAUAGAUAAACUUUUGUCACUUUAUAUUUUUUUUGGAGUCUAUAUCUAUUAUAGCUUUAUAUAUGAUUAAGCUAUAAAACAAGUCCAACAGUUUUUAAAUCACUUUUACAAAGUUAAAUUAAAAAGUGGUUAAAAGCAAGAACCACAACUUUUGUUUUUGAUAUGAUAUUAUAAAUGAUUCAUAGAUUUGAUGAACAUAGUAAGACUUUGAAUUCUAAUUUUGCAUCUUAAUUAUGAACAUAUAUUUCUAUCUAAAACUCUCAUUUAUUUAGAAAUUAUGUCUCCAGUUAAAGGUCUAUAAAACACAUGCUUACAGUACUCCGAUUAAAAUAAAUAUAGAUCGCAAACAACAGAAACAUAAAAGGUAAAUGAAAAAUUAUUGAUUAUGUAUACUGUAUUAGUUAAAAAGUUUUUCGAAUCUCGAAACUGAAUUGUUCUCUGUGAGUGUGCAUUUAUCUAAGAAGACAUUUUCAAAAUCCGAGCAAUAUAUAUUUGAUUUUUUUAUACUGUGUUGCCGGAAAGAAUCCGAACAUUGGACUUCUUCACUUUGUUCCGUAAUUAUGCUGUUAUAUUACCUAUUACAUUUAUAAAACCUAAGUUUAUACAUUGGUUGUUUAACGUAGACAAAAUUUUCUUGUCUGACAAAAAACUUAAAUGAAAAAGGCCUUAAUUCCUGCUUUUUUAAAAUCCCGAAGCUAUAUUCUACUAAAUCCGUUAAACGAAAUUUUAAUUACUUUACACUUUCCUAUGUUCAUGUCGAGAAAUGCAAAAAUGUGUAAGUGAAAUUGGGAACUACUGUUCAUAUUCCAAGGCUGAUCUGAAGGAGACAGCUUUGUCUGCCGUGGCUCAAAUCUCCAUCUCCUACAUUUAAUUUAAUAUAAUGGACACACACGUACGUACACUGUAUAUAUAUAUAUAUAUAUAUAUCUCUUUUAUACAUUAUGGAAGAAAAAUCUUCUUUUGACGUAUUCGUUUUGUCUAUACAUACAUAAUCGUUAUAAAUGAAAGAAAAAUAUACAUUUCGAAUUAGUAUUAACUAUUAAAUAUCAUCACAUAAAGAAGAUUAAUGUAGCUAUCUAUGAUUUUCGACAACUUUGUUUGAAGGAGGCCCCAACAUGCAAAAAAGAUAAAGGGAGAAAGAGGCCAAAUUGAGCUUGACUCAUGAUUAAUCACGGGUACCUCAAAAGAGCAUAUAAUAAAAAAAUGAAAAAAAAUUAAAUUUCAUAUAUAUUUUCAAAAGCAUAAUUGUAUAUAUUAAAAAACAUUUAUAUAUGGACGUAAGAAAACAACAUAUGUAUAUAUAUAUAUAUACACACAUAAUUAUUAUCUUUAUUUAAAUUAGUAUGAUACAAUAUUUCUCUAUUAGACACUAGUAAGAAAAAUGACGACAUAUAAGAGGGCAGUAUCUAUCUUUAUUAGACAUCAUACAUAUAUUAGGGUAUAUAUUUAAUCCAAUUCUUAAACACCAAAAAAGAAGAGAAGAGAGUUUAUUGAGAAUCAAACCACUGUCAAACUCUCGAGCUCUGUAUAUAAUAUAAUUUUGUUCAUAUAUGAAUUACUAAAAUAUAUAUAUUUUUUUCCUAUGAAUUUAUUUAAAGAUUGUUUUAGUCGUAACUGUUUUUGUAAUCUGAUCACAAAUGCAUAAAAUUAAAGUUAAAUUGUAUAUGUGUAAUUAAAUAAAUUAAUUCAGACCUUUUAAUUUCUGGAUUUUAAUGUAACAAUUACAAGUAGAACCAGCUUGAGAAAACUUAUUAAUAUCCAGCUAGCUGUUCUGCGUGCAUUAUUAGCGAUCGAACGAGUGAUACUAUGAACAAUAUAAUAUAAAUCUUAUAUAAACAAAAGAAUAUAUGAUCCAAUUAGCGAAGUAAUAUAUAUAUAUAUAUAUAUAUUAUGGUAAAAAAUCUUAAAACACUUUUUCUUUCUUUCUUGUGAUACAAAUAAUAAUAGAUAUAUCUUAAUUAGAAGAGAGAUGAGUGAGCUAGAGAGGUAUUCGUUAGCUCGUGAUGAUUGUCCGAGCGUGUUCUUUUGUCCAUAUUCUUUAUUUGAUCAACUUUAUUUUGUUUUUGCUACUCCUGUUAAAGCUUAUUUGAUCAUCAUGCCUCUCGUAGAUUCUCCAAGUUGUAUGUUGUGUUGGGUUUCUUUCACCAGCGAAUAUUAUCUCAAGGAAAUAUAAAAUUAAAUAAAAUGAAAAACACUUUUUCCUGUCAAGUUUCAUUUUCUAGUAAUAUUAUCAAAUCUUUAUAUAUAUACACUAAUGAAUUUGAAACAUCAUUAUUGAAGGGGGUCUUCGAAAACUAAGUUUUUAUACACAUACAUAUAUAUAUAUAUAUAUAUAAUAUGAUAAUAGUGAAAUGAUAGUUCAUUCAUAUUAUCUGUAUGGUCACGAGUGUGACGCUUUUUAUUCAACGUUUUCAUGCAUAUAUAUGAAUCAUCUAUGACGUACGCACGUAUGGAUUUAUGUAUAUGUGUGUGUGUGUGUGUGAAGUGAAGCACUGAAGCUAGAGCGUGAGAUUAUCACAGAAGGGAGGGGGCAGAGAUGAUAUCAGGAGAAAGAAGUAAUAGAAACAAAAAAGGUGGUACGAUCGAAAAUCAAAUCUGGUUUUUUUUUUUCCUUUCGAUUAGAGAAGAAAAAUAUAUAUAAAUAUGAUUGGACAUGGCAUCGACUUUUUUUUUUUUUUUUUUUUUUUUUUUUUUUUUUGUCUUUCCAAUUACUUUGAGGAGAGAUUCUAUUUUGAGGUUAACAUAACUCCAAAGAAAAUACCCACACUCACUCUUUUCCCCCAAGUUUUACCCAUCAAACCUUUCCUACAUUAAUUACCCCUAAAAGUGUAUGAUGAUCAUCUAUAUACAUCCCUGUAUAGUUGUUUUUAACCUCAAUAUUAACAAAUUUACUUGGUUUACUUUGAUAUUAAUUGGAAGAUGACCAUCAAUAUCAUCAAGUGGUAUAUAUGAUUGGUCAACUAUAUAUAUAUAUAUAUAUAUAUAUAUAUAUAUAUAUAAGUUUUGUUUACAUUAUAAUAGUUUUAGUAUGUUACUUCCAUUUGCAAUAGUGACAAGAACAAAGAAAUGGACCACAUAACAUAAGUAAAUUGUCAGUGAAGGUAUUUUUUCAUUCAGGUACUCUUUUCUUUUAUGAACAGUAGACUUUGCAUAAGACCAGCUCUCUCUGCUAUCCUCUCUCACAUAAUUAUUUUUCCUAUAUAUAUAUAUUUUAAAGAAUUUUCUUUAUAUAUAUUUGUUUUUUGAAUCUUUUUAUUUUCAACCUUCUCUUUCUGUCUGCAACAAUGUGCUUUAAGUGAAAUGUGUCUUUAUCUCCUUUCCCAUACCUCCUUUGUUUUCUUUUUUGUGUUCAUUUACUUUUCAUAAAACUAACCAAAAUUUAAUAAAGAUGAAUUUCUUACUGUUCUUUUUAUAAAGAAAAGCUACGUACUCUUGAUUUUAUAUACUUUCUUUUCGUUAGGGGUAUAAUUCGCUUAUUUUCUCUAUGUAUAUUGUUUUUCGUUUUUUUUUUACGAAGAGUACUAUUUUAUAUAUAGAGAGACGACGACCCAAAGCAAAGGACCACAUCUGCGUGCAUCCUGGUUACUAGGUAAGUUCGUCUACAUAUACUGAGAUUAUUAACUUUCAGUUUGAUUGCUUUGAAAACUAUUUUUGUAUCAAUUUAAGGAUCUAUCUUUGUAAUCUAUUUGUUACGUUCUCAUCAUCAAUUCACAUGUAUAGAAAUCGUUGGAAAAAAAAGAUUCACAGCUAUCGAAAUUAAUUUUCGACCUAUCGAUGUAGAUGUAAUUCUCACACGCUUUAGGCCUUUAGCUAUCAUGAAAAAAGAGUUUCAUAUCUUACUUAGUUAUGAGCAAAUGUAUAUCUCUAGAUACGUGUGGUACUUUUAUAUAUCGGUAAUUAAAAUGAAAACCGUUGAUUAAUUAAGAUUUUUUGUCUCGGAACUCAUAACAAAAGGGUACGUACGUUCACGUUGGGACUAAUGUGAAAAGACAAAAUACGAGAGGGAUGGGGUUUUAUGAAUUAUGAGAGGAACCCCAUACUUUAUAUACUUACCUUCCAAAGGGGAAGCAAUCAAUUUGGAGUUGAAGUGUAUGUCCUUCUUCUAAACAUUCCCAUCUCUAAAGUCAAAAACCCUAAAUUUCAGUUCCCAAAUUUUUUUUGAUCGUUUUUUCCCGAUGCAUGCACAUGCAACUCUUUAAUUGAAUUGCAUUCACGUGUCAUGGUGGAUCGAUGGUGAUCAUCUAUGUAUGCCCGAAUAAAACAAGUUACUCAUAUUUGUGUAUUACCUUUUAUAGAAAUUAGUUCUCUUGAGCACACACGCUAACGCUAAAACUUGCAACAAAAAUUUGUAUGAGAUAUUGUGAAAAUUAUUCAAUCAUGUUCAUAAUUUUAUUUUUUUUCGUUUAUGUGGAGUUCGAAUUCAUAUCAUCAAUUAACGAGAUAGAGCUUUGACAACAUUCUGAGGUAUUUGUGAUUUUUGUAUCCAAAUCAAGAUUUGGAAUAUCAUCUAUCUAUUAGACUAUUAUCUAUAGCUAACGACGUCGAUGGUAUAUAUAAAGCCCAAAAGAUGAUUUGUCUUGUAAGUGAAAGCCAAAUCAAACAGAGUGUAACAAGAUCCCUUGUUUAAAAAUUGAAUGUCCCAGUCUGAGGCCCAAAUCGAAGCUCUACUGGGCCUUAUGCCUCGUUGUGUACAAGUCAAUAAUCAAGCCCAUAUUCAGAUAAAACAGAUUUUGACUCUCUCUCUCUCUUCUGGUCCAUCCACAGAUCAUCUCUGAAACAUCACUGACGUAACGUCAGUCACAACACGUGUAGCACAGAUCUUGAUUGAUUCCAGUUCUUCGCUUGGAUACGCAACACAGCAAAGCAACAAUAUCUCUAAAGCCACAGAGAUUCAAGUGGACCUACGUAAAGAAUCUUCCACAAUUUGGUUUAAUAACAGUCGUAAACUUCUUAAACACGUCAUUAGAUUAGCCGAUACAUAAGUACAUUUGUUGUCACUGGGUUAACUGAUUGAUUCAAGUUUCUUCUUCAGACUUAAAAAAAUGGAAAAAGCUGUAACACCAAAACUUGAUAUGCCUCUGUUACACUUCACGAAUUCUCGGAAACCCAAUUCGAUUCCGUCUCCGAUUCUUCGACUCUCGAGCUUCAAUCGUCACAAGAAACGUUCUUGUCUUGCAUCGUCUUCGCGUCCAGGGUUCGAAACAGAGACGAUGACUACUGAUUCGGAGAGCCAUGGUGCCAUAAUGGAAAAUAGUACCGUUGGAAGAAGAUUAAUCGGUUUAGCCGCCGCAGCUGCAGUAGCGGUUUCUUCGUGUUGCGAUUCUCCGGCACUAGCUGAGUCUCUGACUAUCGCUUUCCCUGUUUCACGUGCUCGUGAGGUGAUCGAGCUUUUUCAUUGAGCUCUGUUUCUCUGUUUUAAACGUCUCUGGGAAAUAAAGUUUGGAUUUUGAUGUUUUGUUUAAGGUUACUACAGUACAGAGAACUCUUGUGGAAGCUUGGGGUUUGAUUAGAGAAACGUUCGUUGAUCCUACUUUUAAUCAUCAGGGUAAAGUUCAGAUUUUGAUGAUUUUUUUUGUGGAUUUUGUAGAAUGUUCUCUUGUGGAAAGUGUUCUGAUUUUUGCAGAUUGGGAUUCUAAGCUGCAGCAGACAAUGGUGGAAAUGUUUCCUCUAAGAUCAGCUGAUGCUGCUUAUGGAAAGAUCAAAGCUAUGCUCUCUACCCUUGGUGAUCCUUUUACUCGACUCAUUAGCCCAAAGGUACCAGCAAAGUUUGAUUCUCAAUGAGUGUUGCAGGGCAUGAAUUGAAGUUGGUUCUACAUUAAGAUACUUCUUCUGACUUGCAGGAAUACCAAAGUUUCAGAAUUGGUAGCGAUGGAAAUUUCCAAGGUGUUGGCCUUUUCAUAAACUCAGAACCAAGAACCGGUCACCUGGUUAGUGCAGACCUCAAACACGUCUUGAGACCUAAUACGCUUGGUUUUUCAUUUUUCUUCAAUACUGAUUCAUUUUGUGAGCAUGAAGUAGAUAGAUCUUGUUUCAUGGUAGAGCCCAAUGUAGGUUGUUCUGUCUUGCAUAGAAGGUAGCCCGGCAUAUCGUGCUGGAAUACACCAAGGAGAGGAAUUGAUCGAGAUAAAUGGUACAAUGUUAUGUCCUAAUCCUACUAACUUUUUUUCUGUCUUUCUAGAAAUUGGCUGUAACUCUGUUUAUGGGAUUUCAGGUGAGAAAAUGGAUGGUAUUGAUAGUGAAGCAGCAGCACAGAAGCUGAGAGGCCGAGUUGGAACAUUUGUUACCAUAAAACUCAAAUGUGUACUAUUCUUUGUCUUCUCUAUUGAUUCCAUAUGCAUUCUCUUUGUCGAAAACCCUGUAUACUUGAGAUCAAACCAUCUAAGUUAUUGUCUCGUCUUGCAGGUGAAUGGAUCAGGGACAGGGUCUGGUAUCAGAGAGGUACAGUUACCGCUGUUUAUGUUAGAUUUGUUAGGUUACUUACUAAAUAAGUAUAUAUUGUAUAUGUAAAGGUCAAGGUACCCCGAGAUUACAUUAAGCUAUCACCAAUAUCCAGUACUAUAAUCCCACAUACAACACCUGAUGGACGUUCAGCAAAGACCGGUUAUGUCAAACUCACAGCAUUUUCUCAGGUUAAUCUUGUGAAAACCAAAAACAAAUGAAGAGGAGAAUUGCAAUAUAUAAGCUCAUUGUUUCAAUUCUUCCGACAGACAGCAGCAUCCGAUAUGAUAAAUGCGGUACAUGAGAUGGAGAAUCAGGAUGUUCAGUCAUACAUUCUGGACCUAAGAAACAAUCCGGUAAAUUUCAGGUUUUGGUUUUGACAACGAGUUUUCGGGUGUUUGUUCAUUUUCGACACUUAGCUUUUUGACAUUUCCAUUUCAGGGAGGUCUGGUUAAAGCUGGACUCGAUGUUGCACAGUUAUGGCUUGAUGGAGAUGAGACCCUUGUGUAUACAAUUGACCGAGAAGGGGUUACAUUACCUAUAAAUAUGAUUGAUGGACACGCUGUGACACAUGAUCCACUUGUCGUGCUUGUAAGUAUGUAGUAAUGUAUUUAUGUACACUUGUAAGUAUGAAUUAAUGUUAUAUACAAGUUGGCUAGGUGAAUAAUAGAUAGAUCCAAUGAAAUUUAGGUUAAUUCGGGUCGGAGAAUGUAUAAGCCUAAUGUUUCCGGUUAAGUUUGGUUUAUAAGUCCACUCCCAAUUAAUGUUUCGGUCAAAUAUUGGAAAGGUGAAUGAAGGAAGUGCGAGUGCAAGUGAGAUUUUGGCAGGUGCCUUACACGAUAACGGUCGAGCUAUACUUGUCGGUAACCGGACAUUUGGGAAAGGAAAAAUCCAGGUGCAUGCAUAAGUCAGCUUUAAACAAUUCAAAUAUACAAAUCUUGAACUUGUGAAAACAAAAUUAUGAUUGUAUGAUUGGCGAUUUUGCAAGAGCGUAACAGAGCUAAACGAUGGGUCGGCUUUGUUUGUGACGGUGGCUAAGUAUUUGUCUCCGUCUCUACACGAAAUUGAUCAAGUAGGGAUCUCACCUGAUGUACAGUGUACCUCGGAUAUGAUCGAUUCUUUGACCGGUGAGAUACUUGAGAAGACGAACAGUUCAAUUCCAAUGCUUGAAGCAGACUCAUGUGUUAUGGUCGCGGAGCACGAACUUGAGACUCGACAAUCCAAUGGAACAGCUUCUUGAGGGGGUUUCUCGUGAAUUAAUAUAGGAUAAGUUUAUGGCCGUGUAUAUAUUGAUAGUUCAAUGUAUGUGUAAAACUAUUUGGCACUUACUUGUGCCGUGAUAUUAAUUAAUACUGAAAUACAUCAGUAAAAGCGUAUUUAAACUCAACAAUUAUCGGACAAAGGAACUUUACAUCUUAUUCGUAUAUUCAAACUUUAAAAGUCCUAAAUGCUGAGAAAAACAAAAUAAAAUGUCUUGGAUGAGAAAAAAAUCUGAUUAUAAAAGGAUGGUGAAUUUCAUGAGAAGACCAAAUCAAACGCCGUUAACUCGGUUGGAAUACCGAAUACGCAGUGCUCCAGUUUCAGUGUGAGCGAUCGAUAUUUGUCUUUCCGACAUUAUCUUUUUGGUAGAUUUACUAGGGUCUAGGUACCUUAUAAUAAUAUUAAAUGAGCCAGCCCAAACAAACACUUUAAUCCCAUUUGGUAUUACCAUAAACGGGUCAAAAGGCACAAGACCAUUGAUUGUCCAAACACUACCUGCGUUUAGAACUUUAAAUUUCACACCAUGCUUUUUCUUUUUGGUCAAAAUAUGAGCUAAUUUCUGUUUUAAACUUUGAAUUACAAACCAAACCAAUGGUUUGAUUUCUUUGUUUAUAAUUGUAGUUUUACCACGAAUAUUCUUCGAAUUAGCCAACGAGUGAUGACUUAUAAUAUACACGUUGUUUGGUUUAUUUGGGCUUGUAAUAGCUUUUUGUACCCUCUUUGUGGGGAAUAACUCUUCUGUUAAUUUGAAUGAAGUACUAGUUUGUCCAAAAAAAUAAUUAAAAUACAUGUAUGCGGAAAAAAAAAUUAAAAUUUUAUUUUUCUACAUCGAAAUUGAAACUCAUGCAUGGAGUCAUGUUAUAAUGUAACAAGAAUACAGAUGACCGAAAAGAAUGUAACAAGAAUACAGAAACAGCAAUGCUAAAAUCAAGCUAAGCCACAUAUUGCAAGUCUUUUCACCGUAAUUAUAGUUAUAAUUAGUUAAAUUUUGACCACCUUAAAACUUCUGUUAUUUUUAGUAAAGAAUUUGUUUUUUUUCUCUAAAAAUAACACAAGUUCCACACAUAUAAAUUGGCCAUGAACACCAUCCAUAUUCCUCAGACCUGCAAGAACUUGAAAAAAAAAAGAAACAAAAAAAAAAACACUAAAUAAAAAAAGAAGAAAAGAAAAAGCCUUUCAGGUCUCAACAAUGGAGAUGAAGAAGAUUGCUUGCGGUGUGCUUUUCGCUGCUGCCUCUAUGACCGCCGUCAUGGCUGCUGAGGAAGCCGGAGCUCCGGCACCAGGACCCGCUACAGCUGCCGCCUCGGCUGCUUUGCCAGCUCUUGGCUCUUUGGUUGGGGCUUCCCUUGUGUCCCUCUUCAGCUACUACUUGCACUAAGCUAAUCUUUCAUUAUUCUGUAAUAAUUAAAAAAAAAAAGACACUAAUUAUGUGAUCUUGUUCAUUUCCUCCCUACCUAUUUCCAUUUCACUUGUUUAUUAAUAAAACUGAGAAAGUGAUUUCUUGAAUAAACGAACUUUCUCUGAUAGUGUAUUGAUUUCAAAUCUGGGUUUAGCCCCUCCUGAUGGGAAGAUUAGACAAAUACUAGAAGUUGACUAUAGUGAAGAUUAUAAAAAAAAAUUGUCAGCAAAUAUAUAUUAUAUGCAAAUAUAUAUAUAUUAUAAAAAAAAUUGAUAUUGUUAAUUUUGGAAGGUUAAUAUAUAAAAGGAAUGUA
rnacentral:lncRNA from 1 species